rnacentral:rRNA from 1 species
GGGUAGACGAUGGCAAAUUGGUUAAUAUUCCAAUACCAACAUUAGUGUGCGAUGGAAGGACGCUUAGGGCUAAGGGGGCUAGCGGAUGGAAGUGCUAGUCUAAGGUCGUAGGAGGUUAUACAGGCAAAUCCGUAUAACAAUACUCCGAGAACUGAAAGGCUUUUUGAAGUCUUCGGAUGGAUAGAAGAACCCCUGAUGCCGUCGAGCCAAGAAAAGUUUCUAAGUUUAGCUAAUGUUGCCCGUACCGUAAACCGACACAGGUGGGUGGGAUGAGUAUUCUAAGGCGCGUGGAAGAACUCUCUUUAAGGAACUCUGCAAAAUAGCACCGUAUCUUCGGUAUAAGGUGUGGUUAGCUUCGUACUAGGAUUUACUCCGAAAGCGAAGAAACUUACAACAAAGAGUCCCUCCCGACUGUUUACCAAAAACACAGCACUCUGCUAACUCGUAAGAGGAUGUAUAGGGUGUGACGCCUGCCCGGUGCUCGAAGGUUAAUUGAUGGGGUUAGCAUUAGCGAAGCUCUUGAUCGAAGCCCGAGUAAACGGCGGCCGUAACUAUAACGGUCCUAAGGUAGCGAAAUUCCUUGUCGGUUAAAUACCGACCUGCAUGAAUGGCGUAACGAGAUGGGAGCUGUCUCAAAGAGGGAUCCAGUGAAAUUGUAGUGGAGGUGAAAAUUCCUCCUACCCGCGGCAAGACGGAAAGACCCCGUGGACCUUUACUACAGCUUGACACUGCUACUUGGAUAAGAAUGUGCAGGAUAGGUGGGAGGCUUUGAGUAUAUGACGCCAGUUGUAUAUGAGCCAUUGUUGAGAUACCACUCUUUCUUAUUUGGGUAGCUAACCAGCUUGAGUUAUCCUCAAGUGGGACAAUGUCUGGUGGGUAGUUUGACUGGGGCGGUCGCCUCCCAAAUAAUAACGGAGGCUUACAAAGGUUGGCUCAGAACGGUUGGAAAUCGUUCGUAGAGUAUAAAGGUAUAAGCCAGCUUAACUGCAAGACAUACAAGUCAAGCAGAGACGAAAGUCGGUCUUAGUGAUCCGGUGGUUCUGUGUGGAAGGGCCAUCGCUCAAAGGAUAAAAGGUACCCCGGGGAUAACAGGCUGAUCUCCCCCAAGAGCUCACAUCGACGGGGAGGUUUGGCACCUCGAUGUCGGCUCAUCGCAUCCUGGGGCUGGAGCAGGUCCCAAGGGUAUGGCUGUUCGCCAUUUAAAGCGGUACGCGAGCUGGGUUCAGAACGUCGUGAGACAGUUCGGUCCCUAUCUGCCGUGGGCGUAAGAAGAUUGAAGAGAUUUGACCCUAGUACGAGAGGACCGGGUUGAACAAACCACUGGUGUAGCUGUUGUUCUGCCAAGAGCAUCGCAGCGUAGCUAAGUUUGGAAAGGAUAAACGCUGAAAGCAUCUAAGCGUGAAGCCAACUCUAAGAUGAAUCUUCUCUAAGCUCUCUAGAAGACUACUAGUUUGAUAGGCUGGGUGUGUAAUGGAUGAAAGUCCUUUAGCUGACCAGUACUAAUAGAGCGUUUGGCUUAUCUUUAAUAAAGCAU